AGCGAACGCUGGCGGCAUGCUUAACACAUGCGAGUCGCACGGGCAGCAAUGUCAGUGGCGGACGGGUGAGUAACGCGUAGGAACGUGUCCUGAGGUGGGGGACAACCCCGGGAAACUGGGGCUAAUACCGCAUAUGGGCUGAGGCCCAAAGCCGAGAGGCGCCUUUGGAGCGGCCUGCGUCCGAUUAGGUAGUUGGUGGGGUAAAGGCCUACCAAGCCUGCGAUCGGUAGCUGGUCUGAGAGGACGACCAGCCACACUGGGACUGAGACACGGCCGAGACUCCUACGGGAGGCAGCAGUGGGGAAUAUUGGACAAUGGGCGAAAGCCUGAUCCAGCAAUGCCGCGUGGGUGAAGAAGGUCUUCGGAUCGUAAAGCCCUUUCGACGGGGACGAUGAUGACGGUACCCGUAGAAGAAGCCCCGGCUAACUUCGUG
rnacentral:rRNA from 1 species